GACGAACGCUGGCGGCGUGCUUAACACAUGCAAGUCGAACGGAAAGGCCCUGCUUUUGUGGGGUGCUCGAGUGGCGAACGGGUGAGUAACACGUGAGUAACCUGCCCUUGACUUUGGGAUAACUUCAGGAAACUGGGGCUAAUACCGGAUAGGAGCUCCUGCUGCAUGGUGGGGGUUGGAAAGUUUCGGCGGUUGGGGAUGGACUCGCGGCUUAUCAGCUUGUUGGUGGGGUAGUGGCUUACCAAGGCAUUGACGGGUAGCCGGCCUGAGAGGGUGACCGGCCACAUUGGGACUGAGAUACGGCCCAGACUCCUACGGGAGGCAGCAGUGGGGAAUAUUGCACAAUGGGCGGAAGCCUGAUGCAGCAACGCCGCGUGCGGGAUGACGGCCUUCGGGGUGUAAACCGCUUUCGCCUGUGACGAAGCGUGAGUGACGGUAAUGGGUAAAGAAGCACCGGCUAACUACGUG
rnacentral:rRNA from 1 species